rnacentral:rRNA from 1 species
GAUAAACGCUGGCGGCGUGCCUAAUACAUGCAAGUCGAACGGAGAAACCUUGUAGCAAUACGAGGGUUCUUAGUGGCGAAUGGGUGAGUAACGCGUUGGUGACCUGCCCCGAAGUGAGGGAUAACAGCUCGAAAGGGCUGUUAAUACCACAUGUGGUCGUAGAGGUUAGAGACUUUACGUCUAAAGGAGUAAUUCGCUUCGGGAGGGGCCUGCGUCCCAUCAGCUGGUUGGUAGGGUAAUGGCCUACCAAGGCUACGACGGGUUGGGGACCUGAGAGGAGUGCCCCCCACACGGGCACUGAAACACGGGCCAGACACCUCCGGGUGGCAGCAGUAGGGAAUAUUAGACAAUGGGCGAAAGCCUGAUCUAGCAACGCCGCGUGUGCGAUGAAGACCUUCGGGUUGUAAAGCACUUUUUGGGGAGAUGAGGAAGGACAGUAUCCUCAGAAUAAGGAUCGGCUAACUACGUGCCAGCAGCCGCCGUAAUAC